UCAUAUGGAUUCCUACGGGAGGCAGCAGUGGGGAAUUGUUCACAAUGGGCGCAAGCCUGAUGACGCAACGCCGCGUGGAGGAUGAAGGUCUUCGGAUUGUAAACUCCUGUUGCCCGGGACGAACGGCUCCAACCUAACACGUUGGAGAUUGACGGUACCGGGUGAGGAAGCCCCGGCUAACUCUGUGCCAGCAGCCGCGGUAAUACAGAGGGGGCAAGCGUUGUUCGGAAUUACUGGGCGUAAAGGGCGCGUAGGCGGCCUUCUAAGUCGAACGUGAAAUCCCCGGGCUCAACCCGGGAACUGCGUCCGAUACUGGAAGGCUUGAAUCCGGGAGAGGGAUGUGGAAUUCCAGGUGUAGCGGUGAAAUGCGUAGAUAUCUGGAGGAACACCGGAGGCGAAGGCGGGCUACUGGGCCGAUACUGACGCUGAGGCGCGAAAGCCAGGGGAGCGAACGGGAUUAGAUACCCCGGUAGUCCUGGCCCUAAACGAUGGACGCUUGGUGUGUCGGGUAUUCAUGUCCGGGCGGGCGAGAGCUAACGCGUUAAGUGUCCCGCCUGGGGAGUACGGUCGCAAGGCUAAAACUCAAAGGAAUUGACGGGGACCCGCACAAGCGGGGGAGCAUGUGGUUUAUUUCGACGCAACGCGAAGAACCUUACCCAGGUUUGAACUGCAAAUAACAUCCUACGAAAGUAGGCUUCCGCAAGGACAUCUGUAGAGGUGCUGCAUGGCUGUCGUCAGCUCGUGUCGUGAGAUGUUGGGUUAAGUCCCGCAACGAGCGCAACCCUUGUCUUCUGUUGCCAUCGGGUUAUGCCGGGCACUCUGAAGAGACUGCCGGUGACAAACCGGAGGAAGGUGGGGAUGACGUCAAGUCAGCAUGGCCUUUAUGUCUGGGGCCACACACGUGCUACAAUGGCCGGUACAAACCGUCGCGAUACCGUAAGGUGGAGCUAAUCGGAGAAAGCCGGUCUCAGUUCGGAUUGUAGGCUGCAACUCGCCUGCAUGAAGUUGGAAUCGCUAGUAAUCGCGGAUCAGCACGCCGCGGUGAAUACGUUCCCGGGCCUUGUACAUUACCACCAUAGGAUACCC
rnacentral:rRNA from 1 species